AUUGAACGCUGGCGGAAUGCUUUACACAUGCAAGUCGAACGGCAGCACGGACUUCGGUCUGGUGGCGAGUGGCGAACGGGUGAGUAAUGUAUCGGAACGUGCCCAGUCGUGGGGGAUAACGUAGUGAAAAUUACGCUAAUACCGCAUACGAUCUAUGGAUGAAAGCGGGGGAUCGCAAGACCUCGCGCGAUUGGAGCGGCCGAUAUCAGAUUAGGUAGGUGGUGGGGUAAAGGCCCACCAAGCCAACGAUCUGUAGCUGGUCUGAGAGGACGACCAGCCACACUGGAAAGGAGACACGGUCCAGAAUCCUACGGGAGGCAGCAGUGGGGAAUUUUGGACAAUGGGCGAAAGCCUGAUCCAGCCAUUCCGCGUGCAGGAUGAAGGCCCUCGGGUUGUAAACUGCUUUUGUACAGAACGAAAAGGUUUCUACUAAUACUAGGAGCUCAUGACGGUACUGUAAGAAUAAGCACCGGCUAACUACGUGCCAGCCGCCGCCGUAA
rnacentral:rRNA from 1 species